rnacentral:rRNA from 1 species
UACGGAGGGUGCUAGCGUUGUCCGGAAUCACUGGGCGUAAAGGGCGCGUAGGCGGCCUGAUAAGUAGGGGGUGAAAUCCUGCGGCUUAACCGCAGGGCUGCCUUCUAAACUGUCAGGCUAGAGCACGGUAGAGGCAGAUGGAAUUCCCGGUGUAGCGGUGGAAUGCGUAGAGAUCGGGAAGAACAUCAGUGGCGAAGGCGGUCUGCUGGGCCGUUGCUGACGCUGAGGCGCGACAGCGUGGGGAGCAAACAGG